GACGAACCGUGCGAACGUUGUUCGGAUUCACUGGGCUUAAAGGGCGCGUAGGCGGGCUGCCAAGUCAGGGGUGAAAUCUUUCGGCUCAACCGGAAAAGUGCCCCUGAUACUGGUAGCCUAGAGGGAGGUAGGGGCAUGCGGAACUUCCGGUGGAGCGGUGAAAUGCGUAGAUAUCGGAAGGAACGCCGGUGGCGAAAGCGGCGUGCUGGACCUCUUCUGACGCUGAGGCGCGAAAGCCAGGGGAGCAAAC
rnacentral:rRNA from 1 species